CAAGUCGAACGGGGGUGGGGGCAACUCCACUUCAGUGGCGAACGGGUGAGUAAUGCAUCGGAACGUGUCCCGUAGUGGGGGAUAACGCCGCGAAAGCGGCGCUAAUACCGCAUACGCUCUGUGGAGGAAAGCCGGGGACCCGCAAGGGCCUGGUGCUAGGGGAGCGGCCGAUGUCCGAUUAGCUAGUUGGUGGGGUAAUGGCUUACCAAGGCAACGAUCGGUAGCUGGUCUGAGAGGAUGAUCAGCCACACUGGGACUGAGACACGGCCCAGACUCCUACGGGAGGCAGCAGUGGGGAAUUUUGGACAAUGGGGGCAACCCUGAUCCAGCCAUGCCGCGUGCGGGAAGAAGGCCUUCGGGUUGUAAACCGCUUUUAGCCGGGAAGAAAAGGCGCGGGCUAAUACCCUGUGUUUUUGACGGUACCGGCGGAAUAAGCACCGGCUAACUACGUGCCAGCAGCCGCGGUAAUACGUAGGGUGCGAGCGUUAAUCGGAAUUACUGGGCGUAAAGCGUGCGCAGGCGGUUCGUUGUGUCGGCGGUGAAAGCCCCGGGCUUAACCUGGGAAUGGCCGUUGAAACUGGCGAACUGGAGUGUGGCAGAGGGGGGUGGAAUUCC
rnacentral:rRNA from 1 species